ACUGUCACUCUUUGUGGUGGCCUCCAGGUCUCAGUGGGGGAUCCAGGAGGCUGGCUGCUCUGCUCAGGGAGUACAGGGGGCCAGAGGCAGAAGCAGAACCAAAGGUGGCUGUGGGUAGGCAGGAUGCUUAGGGCAUCAAGGCUAGAUCACGGAGGGAGGGAGGGCAGGCGGGCAGUACUUCUGAUUACCCAGAGGAGGCCAUCGGUGCACUGAGUGGCAAUAUACCUGCCUGCCUGCGCUUUCCCUAGGUGACAAGCACAAUAAAUACUACAGUCUUCACACUGUUUACAGCUCUGGGCACCAACCACCCCGCACUGGCUCUUCACUAUGGCUCUGCUCUUACUUAGCUAAUAGAGUUGGGGUAAGGGCAAGAAACUGUUUUUAAAUUGGGUGAAGAGCCAGAUAGCUACUGUUCCCGGGUGCCAGGCCAGCCAGUUCUUUGGUUUCCUAAGGGAAACUUACCCUCUUCUCUUGUAGCACCAUCCAGCCUCAGGGUCUUGGGGACUUGGAAGAAUGUGAAUAGAGGAGGAGAGGCUAGAGGAAAUGAGUAGACAGGGAUGGAUCUGUGAAGAGCAGAGGCUGCAGGGAGGAUUUUUGACAGAUCCCACUGAGACUUAAGCACUGGUGGGAGGGAAAGUGGAAGCAAGGUUGUCCAGGAAAGGGUGGCAAGGUGCAGCAAAGGAUGGGGGUGGGGAGAGAAGCACGGUCUGGCAUCAUCCACUCUCUGCCUGGUGUUGAAGGAACUCCAGCACAGUUUCUGCUCUGGGACCCCUACAGGUUGCCCAAUAUAUUAUGCUUGAGGCCACCUUACUAGGAAGAAAUGGCAGCCAAGUGGGGGACUUAAGUAUGCUGCUUAAGGUCCUGGAAGGGGUGGUAGGAUGCCAGCGCCUAGCAUGAGAGAGCCUGCUGUGUGCCCACAGUCUGACUGCACAGAGCGCCUCUGUCGGCAGGAGGUGCUGCGGUCCCCUUCCUGUGUACUGAGAAGCUGGGCUUGCCAAUAUAGUUUGCUUUCGAUUCCAAGAGGAGCUCUGGGAAAACCUGUGGAUAAAACCAAAUGCCAAAUGUUGGACAUUGUUUCCUUUUCCUUUUCUCUCUGAUUGUUUUAAUUGUUCCGUAGUGGUUUUAAUGGAUUUGAGACCCUGGAGCGGCAGCUGCCUUUCUGAUUUCCAGCUGCUUUUUGUGAAUAAUUUAAAAAGAAAAAAAAAAGAAACUUUACAUUUUGGAGACAAACCUGUGUGAGUUUUUUAUUGGUACAAACGUUGUAUUUAACACUAGGGGUUUUGUACAGUUUUUUGCCUUUUCUACUAGAAAACAAUGUAAAGUGAUUUCACAAUGUGAAGAGAAAAAAAUUGCCACUAUGACCAAACGCACAGUCUGUUCUGCAGCAACAACGGGAUUCAAUCAACUCAAAGUCGUGAUUCAGCCGUAGAAAUGCUUUUCUUGACCUUGUUUGAGCUUUCCUUUUUUCCUGUUUGAUUUAUAAAAGAUGUCUUUUGUGUGUGAACUUGUGUUGUACUCUGUAGAAAAUUAUGGAUUUUGCUUUAAUGGUUUUUAAAAAAAAAAAAGGGCAAGAAGAGCCCGUGUCGCUUUUCUUACCUAAUCACAGUUUGUGUAGUGGAUUAAAAAAAGAAAAAGUUGUUAAAAGUUUGGAGCAAGGGAGUAUGUGUUUAAAAGGACUCUCCUUCCUUUUUGUGUGUGUUUCCUUUUGUCCCAAUGGGGAACCUAAAUCUGUUUUAAUUGCACAGACACACAGACAAAAAGUCAUUUUGUAUCUGCCAAGUGUGGUACCUUCCUUUGUUUAUUUGCUAUUAAACUGUUUG
rnacentral:lncRNA from 1 species